GGACACGUGGCUCAGUGUUAUUUCUCUCAAGGGGAAAUGAAACUGGGGUUUUAUAACCAGCUGCACUGUUUGAGGGCUGUGGGUUAUGGGCAACCAGCCACGUGGCGAGGCACAGUGGACUCUGGCGGUCACAGAAAGCUCUCAGUCAAAGAAAUGUGAGGGCUGGCGGUUUAAAGUGUACAGGAGUGCACUGAAAUGUUAAAGAGCAAGAGGUAUGGGCAGGGCACCACCAGCAUCUGUUACAGCAUUCUCCUGAAAAUACUUUGAAUGAAAUUUGAACCAAACAUUUGCAGCAACUGUGGCCCAGCCCUGUGAGUCCAGGCUUCCAUGGAGCCCAGUCUGAAGGCCUUCGGCAUUUGUUGGCAUAACGAAUGAACAAAGUCUUCCAGGAUCUGGCUCCUGUAAACUACUUCUGUUCCCAUCCUGCCUUAAUCUCAGUCAAGUUUUCACCCAGUAGUACAGAUGAUCUGUGCUGGCGGGCCCCCAGACAUGCCAGGUGGAGCACACCUCCCUGCCUCUGCCUGUGAUGGCUUCUUGGCCUGGAGCGCAUUUUCCCUUCCUCUUACCCACCUAGUGCAACCUGUUCUCCCAGAUUCUGUGUGAAGCAUCUGGGCCUGCAUCUCGCUGUCUUCCAGAAAAGCAGGCAGGAAACAAGCGUGAGAAGGCCUGAGAAGAGGGCUAGUCAGCCUGGAGGGGAAUCAGUCAAUUAAGUCACCACGAUGACAAGAACUACUGCUAUAAAUGGGCCUGGGCACAGCGUAGCUGACUCUGGGUGAGCAUAGAGCUCAGCUGGUGGGAACAGAGCACGUGGUGCAGCCUCCUGGUGUGGGGCAUCCACCAGCGUAUUUCACAGGAAGUUGAAAAGCAUGUUCUUUGAGUGAAGGUACCUGGCCAAGAAGGGUGCUGAGUCUGGUGAAGAGUCGACAUGGUGCCACAGAGAGCGAUUCAUCCCACACACAGCACGGCCAGGCUGGAGGCAGCAGCCAGGGAAAGGGAGCAGGAGACGGGGUGAGGAGGAUGAGUGCUUCAGUCAAGUGGUGUUGGCUACAGCCCUUUCCUCUCCAGAAACUAAAUUUGUUUAACUGGCAAACUUAUGGGGCCAGUGAGUAAAAUUCAAGCCUCCUGCACUCAGUUGCAGCCCUUUCAAAACUCAUCUCCUCUCCCUGAGUGAGGCUGGGAGUGGCUGAGUAUUUGUUUCCCGCCGGCAGGUGGCUUGGCAGCCACAUCCUUGUAGAACAUGAUGCAGGAGCAAGAGAGAGGAUGAUUAUGAAUCAUGGAACAUCAGAGUGCCAAGGGUCCUCAGUGUCCUCUACUCCAACCAUCCCAGUUUACAGAUGAAGAGAUUGAGGUCCAGAUAGAGGGUGCGGCUUGCCACCGACUUGACCAUCAUGCUGACCAUGUUCAGCAAACGUAGAUACGCUAAUUUCAUAUUCCAAACUUCUGCCCCAAAUUCUCUGAAGCUCAGAGGGACAUUGCAUCACUGGAUGAUAACGAGAGGAGAAAAGUGACCAGUGGAAGUGCUGACAAGGUGACUACAGAAUACAAGGCUCAUUGCUGAGUGAGAAAGGAUCUUGAGUGACCAUGUAGUCUAAAGCUUUCAUUUUCCAGUUGAGGACACAAAGCUCUGAGCAGGGAGUGACAGAAUUAUCUGAAGCAUGAGCUAGGAGAAAAAAAUAAAAUUUGAAAUCUUGGAAAUUCAUCAAUUGAAAUAUGUAAUACCUGGGCUGCUAAGAGCCCCAAGUUGGCUGCAUUAAUUUUAUCUCAUGCAUCUCCAUCUCCAGUGCCUGGCACAGCACACGGAAGCUUUUCCAUCACCCUGGUAUUGGUGGCCAUGUGACUGGGGACUGACCAAUCAUAAUCACUCAUCCUCUGGCCACAGUGAUUGGACGAAGGAGUGGACAUAGGACCCAACCUACACCAAUCAAGUCCUUCCCUGAUACUGAUGCCCUGCUGCUGGGAGAGGAGCACUUUCUGCUGGGCUAAGCUGAGGCUGUGGUGGCCUCUGUGACAACUGCACUGCAGUCCUGCCCAGUCCUGCUUCCUUUAUCGCCUCACAGGUGUGGUAUCUGAGUGCUCGCCUCAAACACCGUCCCAUUAAUCACUUUCUCAGAGCGCUCUCCCAGGGACCAGACCAAAAGGAGGGGGCGGGGGAGGAGGGAGAGGCUAGGGGUGGUAGGGUGGGGUGCUGAUGUCCAACUUUAUAGAGAAUUUUCCUUCUAUUGCACGGUGUAAUUAAAAUAAAAGUAGGAGCAUUCAGAAAGCCCUCAGAGUCUGUCCAAAAGCUUUUUCCAAGAACGGAUCUAACCACAAGCAUUUCCAUCAGUGGCCAGGCGUGUGAGGAUAGUUUAGAGGUGAUUUUGGCUAAGGGCUGGUGAGCAACCCAGCCAUCCUCUCAAGCUUUGAGAGCCAUCCUCAUCCCAUUCUAGCUUUGAGUUUCUAUGAAGUCUGCUUCAUGUAUCUAAGAGCUUUAAUGAUGAUUUCAGAGACGUUUUGCCGUUUGCAUGGGUUGAGAUUCAAAGCCGUUUUUGGGAGUGGGCCUGGAUGAUGACUGCCUCUGAAUAACCAGAAGGGGAUGCAGCCAUUGGGCAGCCUAUUAACUCCAGUCUCAUUGCUUCAUCACUGACAUGAUUGCUGUUCUCAGGUCUACGGUGUGCAAAUCUGAAGCAGGCAUUCUGAGAGCUAAGACACCAAUAACCCGCUGCAGACCAGGGCAGAGACCCUCUCAGCAAGGCAUUUGUUCAGGGGCUAGGGCUGCCUCCCACACCAACCACCGAGGGCCGAGGGGGCCGGAGAUCAGCCUGCACUCUCUGGUGGAGCCGGGCAUCCAGGAGGCACUGUGCCCACCUGGAAGUCAGGCUGCCUUUUUCCAGUCUUCGCAAAGGCACCAUGCUGACUAGUUUCUCCCUACCAGGAGCUCACCUUCUCGCCUCCUAAUCAUUUUCCCACCUACAUUAAAAAGCAGGUUGGGGCCCCAGCAUGAAUGAUUGCCGGGGCCUGGGGCACACCUGGAUUGUGCACAGUUCAUGGGACACAAAGACAAUCUGUUUUCACGUUCAAUAGGCUGAUUGGAUAUGACAACUAAAUUUCUCAUGCUCAUUUCAAUGACAAGGAGAAUUUGGAGCACUAGGAAAAUAACUUGCUUUUUUUUGUAAAUAUCGCUUUUCAGGCAGAAAGUUCACAGAGUCUCCCUGUAAUCUGAGCUCACAAUCAGACAGAACGAUUAGAGCUGGGCAUGUAGAGUUUACAGAAAAGCUUAGAGUGAGACCAAAGAAGGGCAAAUAUGCUGUUUGCUUUCCUUUUUUCCCGCCCACACCCUAGUGCACACACUACUCUUGAAAACUUUCCGUGGUGGUGACUCUAACUUCAGUGUUAUGAGCACCUGAAGGGGAAGGUGGGGUCCUGCCAGGGGCACACUGCAGCCCGGGCCUCAGGGCCAGGGCCUCUGGAUCACUCUGAUGGAGCAAAUAGACACUAUGUAAGGUGCAGGGCAGGCCACUUCUUGGAAGUUACUUCCACCUCAAUGACACGUGGGCUGAGGGACCUGGGGCUGGGGAGAGCAGUCAGCACAUUGGUGCCCCAAUCUCUCAUUCUGAGUAGGAGGGAGAGAGUCUCUAGAGACACUAGAGUAUAUGAGAAGAGAACUUGACCUUAAGCUGUACUCUAGAUUCAUUUAAUUUAAUAAUAUUAAUAAACGAAUACAUAAAACUAAUAUCACAAAUGAACAGGCUAGCCUGAGUGACAGCCCCGUGGGUGUCACUUGCUUGGUGCAAUUUGAGUAACUCUGCCUUUGCGUUUAACAUUGCUUUAACUGAGGAACUUCUUUCUAAUGGGAAAGAGAAGCAGUAAGUCACUAACACCUUAGCAAGAGUGAGUAGUCUGGAACCAAGGGAACAAAAAGAGAGGUCUGGAAGCUGUAUAGGGGUUGGAAUGAUGGGUGGGGAUCUGAAAGCGAAGGGGGAAGAGGGUUUGCUGGGUAAGUUUGUCCCCGGCCUGCAAGCACAUCUUUUCCAUGAGCUUGAUCAGAGUUAAAAGGGCAGCUAUGUCCAGUCUUAGCCUCUGCUUUGCAGCCGUGCAUUGCGAGUGUGGAUUUCUUUGUUUCCAUACAACAGAAGUGCCUUAUCCUCCAGACAUAAACAAUGAAUCCCACAGCCUGAUGCUCCUGGGUCUAGUCUGGGCUGCAGGACUGCCCCAGGAUCCGGGAACAGCCUGUCUUUCUAAAAACCAAGCCUCUCAGCAAAUCUGUUUUGAAUUCCAAAGUUAGGGUGAAGCAUCUGAGAAAAUAAACGCAGGUGGAAGUGACUGGUAGUGGGAACACAGUUGCUCUGUUUGUUCUGUGGGGUUGGGUACCUCCCAGAGAUAGUCUUUCUCUUAUGAACAAGAACAGCCUGUAGGAUCUGGAGAAAAAAAGCAACAGGACAGUCAGAGAGUGCGCAGCUCUGGAGCUUGUGGCGUUUGCAUUCCAAGAUGUUUUUCUGCACAAAAGACCUAGACCACAUGGCCGUCCACCCAUCUGUCCAACCGUCCACUCAUCCAUCCUCCAAACAGACCUGGAUGCCCAUCACAUGUGCCAGACUGAGGACAGUCAGCCACAGGCGCCCAUCUCCUCACAGGUGGGCAGGACGUAGGCAGUCCUCUUUGCUAAAGGAAACAGCUCACGGAUGUAAUAAGGCCCAGGAAGAUGCAGUUAGCACAGACAUAAGGAGCCCAGGUUCUGGAGUUUUCCCUGUUUUAAUGCUGAUUCUGACAUUUUCUAGCCAUGUAGGAAAGUUAUCUAACCUCUUGGUGCCUUGGUUCCCUCCUCUGUCAAACGAGGGAAUAAUAAUAGUUCUGACUCUCCAGGAUUGUUGUAGGAAUUAAAGGAGAUGUGACUAUAAAGUGCUGAGCACAGUGACUGGCACAUACAAUGUGCUCAAUGAAUUGUAGCUGCUAUUACUCUAAGUAGGACAUUUGGAGAACCACAGUGACUUCUGUGGAGGCUAAGGAGGUAAUGGGAAAGGGGAGAUUACUAAGGGACAGAAAGAGGUGUCAGAGGCCGAGACCACGCUCUGGAGAUACUCUAUAAAUGCCCCAGCCACUCGGCAUGGAGGGAGUGGUGGGGUGGGGUGGUGGUUAAAACCUAGGGUUUUCUCCAUCUGUUUGUCUUCGUGUUCCCAGACGUCCAGCAAUAGCUCAAGGCAAUUGUUCUGUCAAAAAGGGUCUUGAUGGGGACAGCCAGGGAAAAGGGAACAUCCCCAGGAAGAAUAGAGGCGGGCAGGUCCGAGACCUAGGUGGCAGAAUGCUUGCGGGAUCCUGAUAAGGGCGAACUGUCAGCGAGGGAGGCCUGCCCAGGCUUUAGAGCCAAGGCAUGUCAGAGCCCCCGGGCCUGCUGCACCCUGCUCUUCUCUACUAAAUAUUCCCCAAGGAAGCAGCUGAUAACGAGGAAAAGUUGGAGGAGAGACAACGGCCGGGUCUAAUGCCGAGGGAUUCAUGAUGAAUGUGGCGACUUCUGCAAACCCACUAGAAUGUCUGGAGAAAGGAGAGACGCUGGUUAGGAGUCAGACAUCUGGGUGAUACAGAGAGGCCAGCUGAUGUUUUCCCUGGCAGAAGAGAGCGAUGAACGCCCUAGAGAAGUCCCACAGGCUUCUUUUGGCCAGCUGGUCCUUGGAACAGGAACAUGGGGUCAGAGUUGGGAUGGGGGAGGAUGCUACGAUUAAUAGGAAUCAGGCUCCUUCUGAUCCUGGGACCUGCAAUAAAACUUCUCUGGCUCUUUCUGUAUGUCUUAAAGGUGGAGGGUAGGUGUCUGGGCAUGCCCUGCAAAUGGCAGUGAGGCCCCCCACCUGGCUGCCUCCAUCUCAGAUGGUGGAGGGUCUUGAUAAAUGUAAAGCCUCAUGAAGACUGGAGACCCGGAACAAAGGAAGGAGAGAUUGCCAAAGAAUUCUGUCUGCUGGUCCUGAAUCUGUUCUGGGAGAGAGACAGGCUAAGGGGGAAGGUGAUGGUUGUCUCCAGGCUUACACAGAAGAGAACUCAGUGCUUUAGGGACAGAUGCUCCUGAGAUUCCAGCAAGUCCACCCCAAAGAUACUGGGACAAACUGGCUGAGUUUGUCCAGGAUAUGCCACUUGUACGACACCCAGAUAAUCCCAGCUUGUCCUUUAAGACACGUCGAGGUUGGCUCAAAUGCCACAGACCCCUGGAAAGUACAAAUCACCCCUCAGGUAUCUGCAAGUUCUGUGGGGGCUGGUUCCUAGGUGGCCUUGGCUCUGAGUCCCUGUGGAUGAGAGUGGGUGAGUCCCGCACGUGAAUUAGUUCUGCUUCUGACUCUGCUCCUGGUUCUGUAGAUGCUGUCCUGGUUUCACACCACCGUGACCCAUAAGUGGAACUCAGCCUUUUUCCUUGAUUUCAACCAAAAAAGCCGCUCCCACUGAACCUGCAUGAAUGCCUGUGAAACAGAAUUUCCUGGGGGGUGAGGAAGCUGAAGAGGGGGUUACAUCAGGGAAGAGCAACUGCCUUCAGAUUCUGAAGUAGACUUCCCUGUUCUUAGCAGUUUGUUGGCCUCUCAACCAUGUGGCUUGUCAUCUUUCUUCUUUCUCCACUCCCCUCCUCCACAACUGAUCUCUUCUGCUCUCCUCUACCUCCAAGUUCUCGUUAAAUUCUAAUUCAGAAAAGUUUAAUUAAUUUUUAAUGCCCUUGUCCUCAGCUAAGGUGUGAUUCAGGAUCUCACCUUCUAAUCCUAGAUGUUUCUGAAGGUCUGUUCUUCAACAAAGAUAGCCCCCCUAAGAGAGAGUUAAAAUAAUUUCCUGUCUUGCUCUGCUAGGCCUGACUAAGGUCGAAGCUGGCUCAGGGAGCAAAGGUGGAAGGACACGGCCCCCCUCCUUCCUCCACCUGGGGAAACCUCCCCUGUGGGGUUGGGGGGAGUCACGUGCUUGCUUCCUCUUCUCCGAAGAGCAAGGAAUGCCUUUGGACCAUGAUGGUGGGGCUCUUUCCAGAUCAGAUGCUAAUCCAAGCAGCCAACCCUACAUCUGGAGGUUACCCUUGACAAAGGUAUUUCCUUUAUUAAAAAUCAAACAAAACUUUAAUCCUCACUGGAAAAAAGGUAGUGAGGUGGUUCAGAGUAAUUCUGCUGAUUAUGUCUUGCUAAGUUACCCCUAGAAAAAGGGAAAUGGACCAUCUCUCCCCUGUCCAGUCACUGAUCACCCCAGGAAAUGCACAAGAGAAUAGAACUCAACAACUCAACAGAGACUGGCUCUGUGCUGAGUACCUUGGAUACAGGAUCCCAUUUAUCUUCAGAAAGAAACUUCAAAGAUUCUCCUAGAGAUUUAUCUCCAUUACGUGGAUGAAGAAACUGAGGCCUGGAGAGGUGGAGGGACGUGCCCAAAGUGUUAAAGCCAGGGAGAGGUAGAGGGUGAUUUGAACUCAGUUUGCCCUUCUCAAAAUGCCAGUGGCUUUCUAUUAUUGUCCUCCAACCCCUGCCCCCAUCCCAUCGUGACUGCAUGCAGAGGAGAACAAACUGAGACAGGAGAGGAAGAUGCCUACAGUUCAGACAAGUGUGGAAAGGAAUAAUGACACUGAGAUUUGCAGCUGAACUCUGCAACCAGUCUCUGCAUCUUUAGUUCUUAGAUUUCCUGUGGCUCUUGGUAAGACUCCCUUGGGAAAACCUCAAAUGCGUCUCAGCUGAAUGAAGGGCAAUGAGAUUUUGUUAAUUUCUUGUAAGGAGGCUGGCAGCUGGGUGGAGAGUGGGAAAGGGGAAAGGAAAAUCAUAGAAAGAGGGGACAGGGUAGUGGAUGCUGGCAGUACCUACUCAGUGGGGGUGGGGAUGGGGAUGCAUGAGUCCUGCACAUGCUACUUUUCAUCGACACGCUCCGUGGAGUAAGUGUGGGAGCAGAGCCGGAAGGAUUUAGGGAAUGAUGGCAAGCACCUUUGUUUGUGUCUGGGAGCCAAGUGCUGUGCCAGUGCCAGUGCCAGAAUUUAUAAGCACAUUUACUCCUCCCAGCAUCAUUUUGAGUUAUUGUUGAUUGACCUUAUUUCCUAGGUAAGGAGACUAAGGAAAAUUAACAACUCGAUGAUUUACCACAGAGCUAGCCUAUACCCUCUCUGAUCUCUAAGCACUUUUCAUUUAGAGCUUUUAAUAUCCUCUACCCUUUAUUGUAAUUAUCAUAUAUGAUCAUGCCUUUUCUCCCUGAAAUUGUCCCUUGAAGUCAUCUUAUAUUAGAAUCCUUACAGAAUACUCUACAGGAUGCUUUUCACUUUAUUUUAAGCAACAAAAUGAUGAAGACAUAUUAGUCUUAAACCGUCUAAAGCAAUGCCAAUGUGGAAUCUUCUGGGAGACUCCUGGCAAUGCAAGAGAGUAGAGGACAGAGAAAUCUGACACAUAUUUGACAGUUAUUCUUGGGGAUGUGACCCCUCAGUUUUUAAGUGUUGAAGACACAGUAAACAAACCAUAUACAGAUCAUGUUAGAAACCAGUAUUAAUAUGUACUGUAUUUUAAAGAUAAGUGAUUAUCUUAUGAGAUCACAAAUAGAGAAAGGAGUAUUGUAGUUUGGGGUAAAUUUUCCACUCACAACGUCAUACUUAGGUACAAAAAGUGCUGAAUCUUAAGCGGCCUAGAUAGAUAUGCAGAUAAUGUGCUCUGGAAACUGACUUGAAGACUGGCUCUGGUGAAGAUGGAGACACUGAUGUCAAAGGCACACUGGAAGGGUUUGAUGAAAAAUAUUGCAUUGGGAGUAGGUAAAGGCAAUAUUUCUACAUUAUAGACAUGAGGCGAUUUUUAAAUAUAUCAGUUAAGCUAUUAACAUAUUAAUCAAUAUUUAUAAAUUAGCAAAUACCAUAUGUGAUUUCUAAGUAUGUAUAAGUAAUUAAAACAAUAUGUAACUAUUAUACGCAGACAUUUGUCUAUUUCGUUUACAUGCUGAUACAUCUUUAUAUUCACAUCAACAAAAUCCUUUCUUAAAUGAGUAUUGGGGGUAAAUGAAGAUGCUCUAAUAUUUGGAGUCACCUCACACUGAGUGCUUCCUCAAUGUCUUGUAUCCAUGACUUCAGCCUCAUUGAGGUGACAGCCAUGUCCUGACUCACACACCGUUCAGCCCAGCACAUAGUCUGAUCUUAGUCAAAGGGUGUUGAGUUGUUGCUAUAAUCUGACAGAUAAAAAAAUAGAAACUCCAGUGGGUUAGGAGACCGGGCCAAAGCACACAGCUAAUAAUGAGCAGAGCUGGCUGAUUCCAGAACAGUUUUCCGACAGCCUGGCCAGAGCACAAGCCACUACACCAGGCUAGACUGCAGAAAGCGUUUCCUUGUCCUCCAUUGGGAACAGCCACCUCGCAGGGCAGAGACUCCACAAAGCCUUGGCCUGGAAGCCACCGAGCUGGAGGGUAUCUAGAGACAUGUUAUUCUUGGAUCUGGCCACUACCCAGGGCAACGCCAUACACGUAAAUUUGGCUUUUUGCUAAUUUGUUAUCGAUUCAUGAUAACUGGGAAGCAAAAGUGGCAACAUUUGGUUUAGAAAUUUCCACUUUUUUUCAUUUUGGACAUAAUCUCUUUGUUUUUCUCUCACAUUCUUUUCGACACCUGAUAGCAGCACAACCCACAGCCCACACACUCGUGUAAGGAGCGCUUCCAGGGAACACAGGGCCACCACUUUCUGCAAGGGACAAGAUCAGUGGAAACCUGCAGACGUGUGUUAACGUAGGAAAUACAAGGGUUUGGGCAAAACAGGCAUUGCAGCCAGGUUACUGAUGUGGAAAGCUGGCAUGCGUUUUGAUCACUGACAUUAAUGUAGUCAUGGUUAGAGGAAGGUUUUUUAAAAUCACAUUUUAUUGAGGUUUUGGAGAUAUAGUCCCACAAGUUAAGAAAAUGUAGUCUCCUAAUAGAAUUUUAAGAACAACACUUUAAAGAAAUGUUAACAUUCCAUUAAAUAAGAAGUAUGUGGAAUGUGUGUGUGUGUGUGUGUGUGUGAUGUUUAAAUCUUCCUCACUCCUCACUCUGGACAAAUCAAGCUUUCAAAAGCAGAGCUGUCUCCGGGUGGACUCGUGCCGAAUCAUCAGUGGUUUUCUGCCUUGCUGCCUUCCCACUGUUUGAUGCAUCAAAAAGUCCUUGCUGACAUUCCACACCCCACCUUCCUUUCCGCCCCUCCUCAGGCCCCAGCUAGCUCUCGGAGUUGUCCGCCAUAAACACUCCUCCUUGGGAGUCAGUUGGGAAUGGCACGUCUCCUUUCAGUGAUUAGGUCUAGAAUGUUAGGGUGAGACGAGAUUUCGGUGGAUCUUCAUCGUAUGCAUGAAAAAAGGCUCAAGGACCAAGGCCUCAGUCUUUGGUGGUGACCUGUCAGGGGGGACUCUGAGAACACUGUUUGGGGGUUUCUCAGUGCUUUCCCAGGGCCCAGGAGAGCAACUCACAUGGACAACCCUGAUGAAGGGGAUCAGUCCUUGAGAUCCUGACACCGCUCUCCUCUUUGCCUUUCCUCUCUCCCCCAAACCCUGGCCCCUAAAUCUACCUCUCUGAAUGGGUGUGGGGGGUGGGGGCUACCUAUGAGUGGGACCAUGUGGGAAGACCAUUGCAGAUUCAGACUGCUGGCAGGGGUGGCUGGACACUUCCACUUGGAGAAGAUUGCCUGAGCUUAAAUCAUCAUCGUCAAGAACAAACAUUUACCGCAACCCCUUUAAGGGACAGCCUUUAAGUUAUUGGAAAUUUACUGUUUCAGAGGGACCAAGAGCCAGAAAGGCAGUUGAGGAUUCUCAGCAUGAUUUAGAGUUUGUUGACAUACGCCUCAUUCCUUUCUUUCUUGAUUUAUACACACAUAUAAUUCACUGCCUAAACCUGACAAAGGAGUCUCAUUGUUCCAAACAUGGGGUCCAGAUGUAUAAAGGGUCCUCAAGAUGGAACCUAGCUCCCCUCCCUGGCCUCAUGCUGUACCACUAGCCCCUCUUUCUGUGCAUCCAGCCAUCUUGUCUUCUUCGAGGGGUGAGGGUUCCCUGAUCCCUCAGUGCUGGUCAGGCCCCCCAUCUCUGCCCCAGUUAUGCACUCUCUUAGCAAUUUAGCAAUCUCUGCAGGACUUACAUGAUGGUAGUCAAGCAAUUAAUUAAUUAGUUGGUUAUUUACUCCACAUUCUUCAAUGUCAACUUCCAGAGGGCAGGGACCAUCUCUAUCUUCUCCCCCAAGACCUAAGGAGUGUACCUUGCAUAUAUGAUGGGUAAAAAAUAUUUGUUUGAAUGAUUAAUGAGGGUCAAGGGGUGGAAUGUCUGGGCAGCCACACUGAGUGUGGGUGUGGGUUGGGCCCAGCUGACUAGCUCCAUGAGCCAGAGAGACACAGCCUGGGUGGGUUCUGGGGGCAGCCAGAGGAUAGGCUUGCAGGCCAACUGGGGAGACGGAGGCUCAGCCAUGGGGCAUCUCAUGAGAAGGCGUCGGACAGCCCUGCUCCCCAGCUCCUCCAGUGUUGAGCAGAGAGCACUCUGGGAUUUGGCUUUCUGGCUCCAUGUUUUUCUGAGCAACACAAGAUUGGAAGGAAAAACAGUUUAGGAGGAAACAUGACAUUCAUUUAUUCCUUGAACAUCUGGGAAACCCUCAUGAGGAACAGGACAAGUUGCAGUGGCUAAACUCCUUCACAGUGCACAGCCAAGCAGGGAUCCUGGUCUCCUGUGGCCGUUAGAAAAGCAGUGCAGCUGUUUGUGGCUCCCCUUGAAAGAACUCCGCUGGCUUUGGAGUCAGAAAGUCUUUGGGCUCAAUUCUCUCUUUCCACUAGCUAGCUGUGUGAACUCAGGCAAGUGACUUAUCUUCUCCUUGAGCUUCAAUAUCCUUUUCUGUAAAAUGGGCAUAAUUAUUGGGUUACUAUAGGAAUUAACAGAUCAUAAGUGAAGCAUCCCACCUAGAAGCGGCACCCUGGGUAGAGAAUAGUUAACAUUACUGAUGGUGUAGUAUUGUCAGCUCCUGGAGGGAGGUCUGGCUUUGAUCACCAUGGGUUUUGACCUUUCUUUUUGUAUAUGUGUGUUUGAGGAAGAUUGGCC